UGAGUACGAUAAUGUGGCAACGGUGGCGCGGAGUCUUUGUUGUUUGUUUAUUGACUAAGUGUGGAGGCGACUGCUGAUUCUGCUCUGUUGUUAAGGCAAGUACUUUGGGUGCCUCAUCGUUUGACAUCUCUGGGGGACCUUGGCAGCAUAUCACAUACACACUGUACUGUGAUAAGCCUCACCUUCGCGUGCUCCUCCUCCAGCAGGGUCUUGGCUCGUCGAGUGUCCGCGAUGCGUUCCCUGAGGCAGUGGUCCGUGUGUUCCAGGCGCUGCCGUAGGUGACGCGACGUGGCCACCAGCAGGUCUUCAGCAGCGUCCAGAACCUGAAGAACAAAACAAGAGUAGUAAGAGUAAGCAUAAGAGGAGAAUGGAGAGCAAGGAUAGGUAAAGGGAAGAUGUAGUCGGUGAGAAUUACGGGUGAGAACAAGCUAUAGCGGUAGAAUAAAAGAGACGGCUGAUAAGAAAGAAAGGAAUAUGAAGGCGAUAAUGUGAUUGAAGGAUUAAAGAAGAGAGAUAAACGAGGUGCAAGUGGAGGCAGGAGAGAGCGGAGAAGAGAGAAAAUAAGGAAAAGAAGGAGGAGGAGGAAAAAAUUGAAGAGGUAAAGGAGUAGAGAUUAAUACAUAUUGAGGAUGAUUAAAAGAAGGAGAAAGAGAAGGAAGAAGAACAUGGCACAACGAAGAAAGAAGAAAGGAUAUGGUAAAGUUUGUAAAGAAUAGGAGUCGAAGAAAAUGGAUUUGUUGAGGGUGGCAAGAGCCGCAAGACAGUGAAAAGGAAAGAAGACCUGCAGAACGUAACCUGGGUGUCUAGUGGCUCGUGAAGUGGCUAUACCAAGUUCACUGUGCAUGCAUCCAAAAUAAAAGUGGAUUGAUUUGUUCCUUCCCUCAACUGUGUCAUGCCUUCUUACCUGUUCUGCCAGCUGGUGUUCUUGGUCAGCCCUCGACAGCAACUUCUCGCCCGUCCCUUUCCAGCCUUCCACCGACACGGGACUGAUGGAGAGUAAGAAAAAUACAAAGAAGUGCAAGCAGGAGUAGGAUCCAAGCGUAAGACAAGACCUACAUAACCCAAAAUAUCCUUACACAGCUCGCCGCCACCCUCACCUGGGAUCGAUCUUCUGAGCCGGGAUGAUGGUGGUGGGCGGGGCCGUGGGUGUGAGUCUCGCCGUGCUCUUCUCUACCUUGAGGGCGGCGUCCUUGUCCAUCAGGUCUUGUUGGAGGUGGUGGCGGCAGGCGAGGACGCGGCGAAGCUGUAUAUGGGAGGAAGUUGUGAUGAGGCAUAUUGGAAACUGCCCUUAACUUGAAGCUGUGAUGGGGCCAUCAGCGAGGGCGGCGCGACACCUGCCCAGCUCCUCCACCUCCUGCCGCAGCGCCGUGGCCACCUCGUCCUCCACCUCCUCUACCCCAAUGCGCUCACGCCUACCUCCACCACCACCAGAAGACGAGUUAGUUUUUUUUU